GCCCCCUUCGACCAUGGGUUAGGUCACGAGCCUUUCGAUCUCGUGCAGCGGGUUCGAGUCCCGCAGGGGGUGCCA
rnacentral:tRNA from 1 species